AGGAAACUUAAUAAGUCUGAAUGACAAAUCUUGGGCAACAAGGGCUGACAAAAACCUCGUGAUCUGAAGGAGCUGGACCCUUCUCACAAGACCUGUUAAAGUUCUACCUUACGGAUUAAGCCUGG